rnacentral:rRNA from 1 species
AGAGUUUGAUCCUGGCUCAGGACGAACGCUGGCGGCGCGCCUAACACAUGCAAGUCGAACGAGCGAGAGAGAGCUUGCUUUCUCGAGCGAGUGGCGAACGGGUGAGUAACGCGUGAGGAACCUGCCUCAAAGAGGGGGACAACAGUUGGAAACGACUGCUAAUACCGCAUAAGCCCACGGGUCGGCAUCGACCAGAGGGAAAAGGAGCAAUCCGCUUUGAGAUGGCCUCGCGUCCGAUUAGCUAGUUGGUGAGGUAACGGCCCACCAAGGCAACGAUCGGUAGCCGGACUGAGAGGUUGAACGGCCACAUUGGGACUGAGACACGGCCCAGACUCCUACGGGAGGCAGCAGUGGGGAAUAUUGCACAAUGGGGGAAACCCUGAUGCAGCGACGCCGCGUGGAGGAAGAAGGUCUUCGGAUUGUAAACUCCUGUUGUUGAGGAAGAUAAUGACGGUACUCAACAAGGAAGUGACGGCUAACUACGUGCCAGCAGCCGCGGUAAAACGUAGGUCACAAGCGUUGUCCGGAAUUACUGGGUGUAAAGGGAGCGCAGGCGGGAAGACAAGUUGGAAGUGAAAUCCAUGGGCUCAACCCAUGAACUGCUUUCAAAACUGUUUUUCUUGAGUAGUGCAGAGGUAGGCGGAAUUCCCGGUGUAGCGGUGGAAUGCGUAGAUAUCGGGAGGAACACCAGUGGCGAAGGCGGCCUACUGGGCACCAACUGACGCUGAGGCUCGAAAGUGUGGGUAGCAAACAGGAUUAGAUACCCUGGUAGUCCACACCGUAAACGAUGAUUACUAGGUGUUGGAGGAUUGACCCCUUCAGUGCCGCAGUUAACACAAUAAGUAAUCCACCUGGGGAGUACGACCGCAAGGUUGAAACUCAAAGGAAUUGACGGGGGCCCGCACAAGCAGUGGAGUAUGUGGUUUAAUUCGACGCAACGCGAAGAACCUUACCAAGUCUUGACAUCCUGCGACGAUGCUGGAAACAGUAUUUUCCUUCGGGACGCAGAGACAGGUGGUGCAUGGUUGUCGUCAGCUCGUGUCGUGAGAUGUUGGGUUAAGUCCCGCAACGAGCGCAACCCUUAUGGUCAGUUACUACGCAAGAGGACUCUGGCCAGACUGCCGUUGACAAAACGGAGGAAGGUGGGGAUGACGUCAAAUCAUCAUGCCCUUUAUGACUUGGGCUACACACGUACUACAAUGGCGUUAAACAA